GAGGAAAGAGGGAGGCGUGCCUAAUACAUGCAAGUCGAGCGAACAGAUGAGGAGCUUGCUCCUCUGACGUUAGCGGCGGACGGGUGAGUAACACGUGGAUAACCUACCUAUAAGACUGGGAUAACUUCGGGAAACCGGAGCUAAUACCGGAUAAUAUAUUGAACCGCAUGGUUCAAUAGUGAAAGACGGUUUUGCUGUCACUUAUAGAUGGAUCCGCGCCGCAUUAGCUAGUUGGUAAGGUAACGGCUUACCAAGGCAACGAUGCGUAGCCGACCUGAGAGGGUGAUCGGCCACACUGGAACUGAGACACGGUCCAGACUCCUACGGGAGGCAGCAGUAGGGAAUCUUCCGCAAAGGGCGAAAGCCUGACGGAGCAACGCCGCGUGAGUGAUGAAGGUCUUCGGAUCGUAAAACUCUGUUAUUAGGGAAGAACAAAUGUGUAAGUAACUAUGCACGUCUUGACGGUACCUAAUCAGAAAGCCACGGCUAACUACGUG
rnacentral:rRNA from 1 species